ensembl:lncRNA
CUGUGACUCAAUUUAGUGACUCAGCCUGGCAUUCAGCACCUCACCAUACCUCUCUAUUUUUCUAGCUUUUUAUAAUAUAGAAAAAAAUAGAAAGCUGCAAGGAGAAGAUAGAAAAACUGGGUCCCAGUUCACCACUCUCCAUCACUGGCCAAUAAAAGCAAGCCACUUAACCCCUCUUGGCUUCAGUCAGCGCAGCUGUGCAUUACUGUCAUCUUCUUAAAGGAGAAAGCUGGGCUAGGUGAUCUGCUCAAGUUCUGAUUUGAAAAGCUGUGAUUCUAUGGCCCGCUCUAUCCUGCUUUGUAGACUUGGUGGAUAGUUCUAGGAACAAGCCCUGAGUUUGCUCAGCACUUUUUGUAUGCAGUUCUGUCUGUCCUUAGACCUCCCCUCAUCUGUCCAGGGACCCCUCCUGGUGAUGGCCCAUCCAUUGCACCCCCUUCCCCAGCCUCAGUUAAAUCUGUUCACCUUCUCAGAAUUUCCAUGGCUCAAUGUUGUUUUAUCAUCUUUUGCGACACUGAUUAGAUGAUUCUAAUCUGUAUGGUUGCUAUUGCUCGUGCACAUGCCUUACUUUCUAUGUUCCUAUAAGCUUCCAGAGACAAAGGUUGCAUCUCUCUUUUAAGAAGUCACCAUGAUGGGACUUUCCCAGUGGUCGAGUGGCUAAGGUUCCAUGCUCCCAAUGCAGGGGGCUUGGGUUCCAUCCCUGGUCAGGGAACUAGAUCCCACAUGCCACAACUAAGAGUUCCCAUGGUGCAACCAAAGAUUCCACGUGCCACGGCUAAGACCCAGAACAGCUAAGGUCACUGCAGAUGUAAUCAGUCACAACAAGGAGGAGGGUGGUGCCAUGUGUUCUGUUGAUCAGUCGUGUCUGACUCUUGCAACCCUACAGACUAUGGCCCACCAGGCUCACCUGUCCAUGGGAUUCUCCAGGCAAGAAGACUAGAGUGGGUAGCCAUCCCUUUCUCCAGGGGAUCGUCCUGACCCCGGGACUGAACCCACGUCUCUCGCGUCUCCUGCAUCGGCAGGCAGGCUCUUUACACACGGAGCCACCUGGGAAGCACAAGGUUAGGGUGGUGCCGUAAUCCAAUAUGGGCUUCCCAGCUGGUGCUAAUGGAAAAUCCCAAGGACAGAGGAACCUGGUGGGCUAUAGUCCAUGGGUUCACAAAGAGACACGACUGAGGAACUCCGCGCACAUGCUCGCAUGAUCCAAUAUAGCUAGUCUUCCUACAAGAUAGCCUGGUGAGACAGAAACACACAGGGAGGAGGUUUUGUGACGAAGAAGGCAGAGACUGGAGUGUGAAGCAGCUGGGAGUGAAGGAAUGCCAAGGAUUGCCAGAAUUCACCAGGAGCUGGAGAGAGGAGACAUCAGCUUGAUCCCUGGUCUGGGAAGAUGCCACAUGCCGCAGAGCAAGGAAACCUGAGUGCCUAAACGACUGAGUCCAUGUGCACAACUACGGAUGCGCAUGCGCCGUGGAGGCCGAGCUCUACAGCAAGCCUCUGCAAUGAGAAGCCCGCCACCACCAGCAGAGGAGGCCCGCGUGCAGCCAAAAAUAAAAUAAACGAACACUUUCUCAAAGUGGAUAGGAAUGAGACAAGGUAUCGGGAUGAUGACUCUAGACAAAGCCAUCUGAUUUGCCCACUUCUCAGGGGCUGAACCUAAGCUUUGCUGGAGAAUCAGAGCACGUGAAGAAGAUACAGUUAUCCAAGACUCACAUUCACUACGGGAAGAUCAGAUUGUGCCCUCGUGGGCAGGUGCUGGGGAGAAUCCAUUAUGCACUGGUCAGCUUCUACCCUUGCAGGGACGUCUGUUGUUCUGCGAUCCCGGCAGCUGACGCCUCUUAUGGAAACAGAACCCUCGCCUCCUCCGGGAUCGGCCACUGUCUUGCACCGCAUACUUCCUUCUGCCUUAAGCACAGGUCUGCUCCCCUCACAGCACAGGUAUAGACGAUGCCGCACCAGCGGGAGGAUGUCCGCUUCUGACAGUGACAUGGGAAACCGGGAGGAGCAGAGGGUUAAAAGUGUUGAUAACGGAAUGCUGUUUUUUAAUCGAAGUGUAGUUGACUUGCGAUAUUGUGCUGUUUCAGGUGUACAACAAAACGAUUCAGUUACAAAUAUUUUUUUCAGAUUAUUUUCCAUUAUAGAUUAUUACAAGGCAUUGAAUAUAAGUCCCUGUGCUAUACAGCAAAGCCAUGUCACUCGUCCAUUUUAUGUAUAGUAAUGUGCACCUAUUAAUCCUGUACUAUUUUAUCCCUCCCCUCUUUACCCUUUGCUAACCAUAAGCUUACUUUCUAUGUCUAUAAGUCAGCUAAUGU